CCUACGGGUGGCAGCAGUGAGGAAUAUUGGUCAAUGGACGAGAGUCUGAACCAGCCAAGUAGCGUGAAGGAUGACUGCCCUAUGGGUUGUAAACUUCUUUUAUAUGGGAAUAAAAUGUUCCACGUGUGGGAUUUUGUAUGUACCAUAUGAAUAAGGAUAGGCUAACUCCGUGCCAGCAGCCGCGGUAAUACGGAGGAUCCGAGCGUUAUCCGGAUUUAUUGGGUUUAAAGGGAGCGUAAGUGGAUUGUUAAGUCAGUUGUGAAAGUUUGCGGCUCAACCGUAAAAUUGCAGUUGAAACUGGCAGUCUUGAGUACAGUAGAGGUGGGCGGAAUUCGUGGUGUAGCGGUGAAAUGCUUAGAUAUCACGAAGAACUCCGAUUGCGAAGGCAGUUCACUGGACUGCAACUGACACUGAGGCUCGAAAGUGUGGGUAUCAAACAGGAUUAGAUACCCGUGUAGUC
rnacentral:rRNA from 1 species